ACAGCAAGGGGGGGGGGGAGGAGAGUUCCAAACCCUCACCAUUCCUUCCAUCCACCAUAACUUCCUCGUUUGAACUCUGAUCGCUGCACCGUUUGCGGCCACGCAUCCAGUGCGUCAAGCUCUACAUUUCUAUCAGAGUAAUUUCACUGGUUCAAUUUAGCUUGUGGAGCUUACUGGGUUUGAGUUGCUAUGCGUGUGGGAGCGGUAUGAAUUAAGUUCAUAUAUAUGCAUUGGAAGUGAAAAAUGAGUAUUUGAAGGCUUAUGGGUGAUUGAAGCUUGGUUUGUGGCUGGUUUCUUUGAGCGUUGGGGGCUGUGUUCUUGCUUGUGAGGCUGCCUUGGAUUGAAUAAAGUGAUCGGUCAAGGUUUAAUCAUGUUUUGUCCAAGUUGGAUGGUUUAACGAGCUUGAUCAAAACGGUGUUGCAACAAGUUAAUCCUUGUAUGAGUGCGGAACAAGUGCAAGUAAUGAUAGAAGCUGCCCAACAAUCUCCGCCUGAUGCAAGUAGUGCACCAAAUGAUGCGAGGCGAAGCAUUCCUCCUUCACUGGGAUCGAACCAUGUGUCAAAAGAUAUGGAAGAGGACAUGAUGUGAAGAAAAUAUGUUCUAUACAAAUAUAAGAUAGGAUGGGUCUUAUAAUGAUUUUGGUUAUCUAAAUAUAUUAUUUUGAUGUGUUCUUUACAUUUUGAUAAGAGACUUUAUCUGAUAAUACAUGUAAUGGAUAAAUUACACCCUAUUUUGAUUAGUGUUGUAAUGGAUAUCUACUUUUUAAUGAAACUUUUAUGAUUUACAUUUAUUGAA